UACGUAGGGUCCAAGCGUUAUCCGGAAUUACUGGGCGUAAAGAGUUGCGUAGGUGGCACAGUAAGUCGGUAGUGAAAGCGUGAGGCUCAACCUCAUAAACAUUAUCGAAACUACUAAGCUAGAGCAUGAGAGAGGUAACUGGAAUUCCUAGUGUAGGAGUGAAAUCCGUAGAUAUUAGGAGGAACACCGAUGGCGUAGGCAGGUUACUGGCUCAUUGCUGACACUAAGGCACGAAAGCGUGGGGAGCGAACGGG
rnacentral:rRNA from 1 species